CAGGAACCCGGUGCGAUUCCGGGACGGUCCCGCCACUGUGACCAGGGAGCCCCCGCCAUCAGGACCACGGCCGCACGGCCGGAAGGUCGGCGGGAGGCGUCGAUCUGGGAGUCAGGACACUG
rnacentral:ncRNA from 2 species